CCAGACUCCUACGGGAGGCAGCAGUGGGGGAUAUUGCACAAUGGGGGGAACCCUGAUGCAGCGACGCCGCGUGGGUGAAGGAGCGUUUCGGCGCGUAAAGCCCUAUCGGCAGGGAAGAAGAUGACGGUACCUGACCAAGAAGCCCCGGCUAACUACGUGCCAGCAGCCGUGGUAAUACGUAGGGGGCAAGCGUUAUCCGGAUUUACUGGGUGUAAAGGGGGCGCAGACGGCAAUGCAAGCCAGGAGUGAAAGCCCGGGGCUCAACUCCGGGACUGCUUUUGGAACUACAUGGCUUGAUUGCAGGAGAGGCAAGUGGAAUUCCUAGUGUAGCGGUGAAAUGCGUAGAUAUUAGGAGGAACACCAGUGGCGAAGGCGGCUUGCUGGACUGCAACUGACGUUGAGGCCCGAAAGCGUGGGGAGCAAACAGGAUUAGAUACCCCAGUA
rnacentral:rRNA from 1 species